UACGUAGGGUGCGAGCGUUGUCCGGAAUUACUGGGCGUAAAGAGCUCGUAGGUGGUUUGUCGCGUUGUUCGUGAAAUCUCACGGCUUAACUGUGAGCGUGCGGGCGAUACGGGCAGACUGGAGUACUGCAGGGGAGACUGGAAUUCCUGGUGUAGCGGUGGAAUGCGCAGAUAUCAGGAGGAACACCGGUGGCGAAGGCGGCCUUCUGGUCCAGUACUGACACUCAAGUGCGAAAGCGUGGGGAGCAAACAGG
rnacentral:rRNA from 1 species